GGUUAAGUUACAAAGGGCGCACGGUGGAUGCCUUGGCACUAGGAGCCGAUGAAGGACGGAACUAAUACCGAUAUGCUUCGGGGAGCUAUAAGUAAGCUUUGAUCCGGAGAUUUCCGAAUGGGGGAACCCAGUACACAUCAGUGUAUUGCCUGCAAGUGAAUACAUAGCUUGUUGGCGGCAGACGCGGGGAACUGAAACAUCUCAGUACCCGCAGGAAGAGAAAGAAAACUCGAUUCCCAUAGUAGCGGCGAGCGAAGUGGGAAGAGCCCAAACCGAGAAGCUUGCUUCUCGGGGUUGUAGGACUGGACAUUGGAGUUACCAAAGUUCGACGUAGUCGAAGUCAGCUGGAAAGCUGCGCCAUAGAAGGUGAAAGCCCUGUAAACGAAACGGCGGACUCUCCGUCCAGGAUCCUGAGUACGGCGGAACACGUGAAAUUCCGUCGGAAUCCGGGAGGACCAUCUCCCAAGGCUAAAUACUCCCUAGUGACCGAUAGUGAACCAGUACCGUGAGGGAAAGGUGAAAAGCACCCCGGAAGGGGAGUGAAACAGUUCCUGAAACCGUGUGCCUACAAUUAGUCAAAGCCCGUUAACGGGUAAUGGCGUGCCUUUUGUAGAAUGAACCGGCGAGUUACGUUUGCCUGCGAGGUUAAGAUGAAAAGUCGGAGCCGGAGCGAAAGCGAGUCUGAACAGGGCGCUUCAGUAGGUAGAUGUAGACCCGAAACCAAGUGACCUACCCAUGACCAGGUUGAAGGUGUGGUGAAACACACUGGAGGACCGAACCCAUGUAUGUUGAAAAAUGCUGGGAUGAGUUGUGGGUAGCGGUGAAAUUCCAAACGAACUUGGAGAUAGCUGGUUCUCUCCGAAAUAGCUUUAGGGUUAGCCUCGGAGGAUGGAUCAUGGAGGUAGAGCACUGUUUGAACUAGGGGCCCGUCAAGGGUUACUGAAUUCAGAUAAACUCCGAAUACCAUUGAUCUUACUCCGGGAGUCAGACAGUGAGCGAUAAGGUCCAUUGUCGAAAGGGGAACAGCCCAGAUCACCAGUUAAGGUCCCUAAAUUUAUGCUAAGUGGAAAAGGAUGUGGCGUUGCACAGACAACUAGGAUGUUGGCUCAGAAGCAGCCACCAUUUAAAGAGUGCGUAAUAGCUCACUAGUCGAGUGGCACUGCGCCGAAAAUAUACCGGGGCUAAGCAUAAUACCGAAACUGUGGGUGCACCCGUCAGGGUGCGCGGUAGGAGAGCGUUCUAAGGGCGUUGAAGGUCGAUCGUGAGGACGGCUGGAGCGCUUAGAAGUGAGAAUGCCGGCAUGAGUAGCGAAAGAUCAGUGAGAAUCUGAUCCACCGUAUGACUAAGGUUUCCUGGGGAAGGCUCGUCCUCCCAGGGUUAGUCGGGAUCUAAGGCGAGGCCGCAAGGCGUAGUCGAUGACAAGCAGGUUGAGAUUCCUGCACUAGUUUAUUUUGUUUAAGCGAUGGAGGGACGCAGGAGGCUAAGGAAAGCGCACGGCUGGAAAAGUGCGUCCAAGCAGUAAGUCCGGUAGCGAGUGAAAUGCUUGCCGCCUUAAGGACAAGCUGUGAUGGGGAGCGAAAUUAAAGUAGCGAAGUUCCUGAUGUCACACUGCCAAGAAAAGCUUCUAGUGAGAAAUAAACUACCCGUACCGCAAACCGACACAGGUAGUCGAGGAGAGUAUCCUCAGGUGAGCGAGCGAACUCUCGUUAAGGAACUCGGCAAAAUGACCCCGUAACUUCGGAAGAAGGGGUGCUGACCGCAAGGUCAGCCGCAGUGAAUAGGCCCAAACAACUGUUUAUCAAAAACACAGGUCUCUGCUAAAUCGUAAGAUGAUGUAUAGGGGCUGACGCCUGCCCGGUGCUGGAAGGUUAAGAGGAUGAGUUAGCGCAAGCGAAGCCCAGAAUUGAAGCCCCAGUAAACGGCGGCCGUAACUAUAACGGUCCUAAGGUAGCGAAAUUCCUUGUCGGGUAAGUUCCGACCCGCA
rnacentral:rRNA from 1 species